AGUGAGAAGUGUCCUACUGAAAACUGAAUAGGGGAGAAAGUGCUGAUCUGAGCAGUGCUUAAUGGCUUCUCAUUGACUCCAGGUACAGUACAGCAGCCAGACUGACCCAAUAGACUUCUGAGAUUACACAGCUUGAUGGUAAUUAUUUCCUGCACUCACCCAUCUGCAACAGCUUCUCAAACUGGAUUAGCCAAGCAGAAAUUUAGCUGCCGCCGCCACACAGAGAUUAGCACCGACAUCCAACUAUAGCACCAUGACUUGGCAAGGAUUACCUUGAAACACCGCUGUGUGCUUAAAGGAUGUGAAGGUUGGCUGGUGUUUUUUGUCGCUCGAAGAACUGUGAUUCCUGGAGACGGUAGUGAUGUGUUGUUGCCAGGUUGAAAUAUAACACAAAGACUAAGUAGACUGCUAAUAGUUAUUUGGUAACUUAUUUUAACAUUUUGAGUUAUUCCAAAUAUUUGUUUUAAGAAAUGGAGGUGGAUUUGCCUAAGAUCUAUUUGAUAUGCAGUAGGUACAGAUGUAGGAUCUUAAUUUGAUCACUCUUUUGUUGCUGAGAAUUUUCCUGCAUAACUGUUAAUGCAUACUUGUAUUGUAUUCAAGGUUUAAAAAGGCUUCUAAAGUUUGUAAUUUCCACUUUAAAAUGUCAGACUUGAUUUUCCCUAACGAAGAAUGUGUCAACCCCAACAAAAAGUUUCCAUUAAUUAUGAUCCAUAUCAUAAUUCACAUUUCCUGUUGCUGCAGGAUUAUUUUCCUGCUGUAGCAAACUGGCUCAAAUGAAGAUCCUACAUCCAGUAAGUGGCGCCGAUGCAGGAAAAACCUUUCAGCUGUUUUCUCCUAAAAGUUCACCCACUAUCAGCAAGCUGAGAAUCCAAGGUAAAUGUUCCAACGUCCGUCUCUAUGGCAACGCCCGCUCAAACAGUUGAGGUAGGAAGCCAACUUGAGACAUAUGGUAGUGGUCACUGGUUGUAUGUAUCAUGUACUGUAUGAGUUCUCCCACAUGGUGAAGUGAAAAUACCAGAGAAUAUGUCAUGUAUAUUUGUGUGUGUGUGGGACACAAGGGCAUCUACAGUACACAGACAUACAGAUUACAUUACUUUAUGGCAGUAGCCUACAGUACUGGAGACUAUACUCACUUCUUAGGAGUUCCAUAAGAGACAUUUAGAUUGAUAUGGAGUGUUAGAGAGAUGACAAAGCAAUACCGUUACAUCACUUUUAUUCUAGUCAGUGUUCAUGAGGAGUGUUAUUGUAAAGUAUUGAUACAAAAGGAGAUUGUGUUUUAUCCUACAUUCUGUCUCUUUCUUGUUCCAGCCUUGUUAUAUGUCUGAGAGGGCAUAGAGAGGGUUUGGGAGAUGAGUAUGGGGCAAGAUCUCACUCACCACUCUCAGUCUGAGUCAACCAAACCCCCUGAGGGAUUCUCACAUCACCCUGAGAGGAGUUGUGUCUCGUGGCCCACCUGAAAUAUCAAACAACUUCAGUAACCUCCAAACUGCAAACAACUAUUUUGUUGUGACUUGUGAAAACAUGCAGCAGUUCAAAAAGGGGGUGGUGAGAUUCCUCUAAUUACAGUAAUACCCAGCCGAGAAUUCUAUUCUGCAGCUUGAAUAUUCUUUCUAUAUGGUCCUUUUAACAGUUGGUGUCUGCUGGAGGCCUUGUAUCUACCAUCACAAUAAUGUUCCAAUGCUUUGAGGAGUGAAGCUCUUGCUGUGACUGAGAAACAUGGACUAUUUUUAACCCCAAUUCAAUUAUUCAAACCUAACAGUGGAAAAACAAACGUUCAACAGAAUGUCUCAUGCAGGAUAUUGAUUCCUCCAUAAGCUAAAUGCUGCAAGCCACUUUAUUAUUUUUAUUAAAUAUAAAUGAGGCA